rnacentral:lncRNA from 1 species
UGCGCUGUAGUGGAAAGCGUGCAGGAUUCAGAUUCAAGAAUAUCUGGGUCUGAAAUCCAGCUCUGCUCCUUCCUAGCAAGUUGUCAAAUCUCUGAGCUUCCGUUUUUCUCACUUGAAAAAUGGAAAAACUGGAGUUCCUGCUGGGGUGCUAUGGUUAAGGAACUAACGUCUCUGCAGCAGUGUGGGUUUGAUCCCCUGCCAGGUGCAGUGGGUUAAGGAUCCAGCGUUGCUGCAGUUGGCCCAGGGACUUUCUUAUGCCAUGGGUACCGCAGGAAAAAAAAUGGGGAUAUUAUAUGGUUGAUGGGGUGACUGAUAAACACCCCCACACACACACAGCCCCAUCAACCCCCAUGCUCAUCUCAGGUUCAAGAAUUUUCACAGGUUAUAUUCUUGGUGGACUGUACUGUUUUCUUUCCCUUUCUGGAUAAGGUACUUCUUUUGGACACAUUGCAGUAUGUGUCUUUGCCUGGUGAACCUUCCUUCGAUGAGCCACGCCCCUCCAGCCCAAGUACAAAGACCCUUGAAUCUGGUUGGUUGACCCUGAAGAUAUGGAGGGCCAGCUGCAUAGUUUCAGUGGGGCUGACCCUGGAUCCUGGCACCUUCAGGUUGGGCCUGUGACUCAGGUCUGGCUAGUAGAGCAUUCCAUCCCCCAGACACACUGAACAGAAUGGUUUACAGAUGGGACAUGUGUUUCAAGCCAGAGCCCUUCAGGGGUUUCUUGCUGGAACUUCCCUAAGAGAUAUUUACUCAUCCUCUGAAAUUACAAGCUCUAAGAAGCCAUGUGAGUAAAGCUGCCAUUUAUCAUCUUGGUGCCAAGUGGAGUGAGGGAAACCAGGCAGAGGUGGGCCCGAGGGACACUGCCUUUGUUUGCACCAUCAGAUUAACCACUGGCCAUUUCUGUCGCUUGAGCCAAUAAAUUCUUUUUCUAAAUUAAGCCAAUUUGUUGGGCUACUGAGUAUGCAGCCAUAACACACAGCUUGACCCUUUUGUUGUUGUAAAAUCACAAGCUCCCCGUCAUCAAGGUUCAUUUUCAACUCCUUGUUUAAAUCUGUUCCCCUAUUUGUAUGUACAAAAACAGAACUCAGUCCAUGUGCAUGACAUACUAGAAGCUCACCAGACUUAUAGACCCAGGUCUGAAUUCUGGCUUUGUCAUUUAUCAGUCUUGGGCCAAUCACUUAACCCUUCUGAAAUUCACUUUUCUAUCAGUAAAAUGCAGCUGUAUUUUAUUUAGUUGGCUGUUCUAUGGGUUGGAGCUAAUGCAUAUAUGGGCAGGUCAUAUAGGAGACCACCAAUAGUCCGUUAUUAGGUGGUGAGUACAUUUAUGUUACCCUGAUAGCUUUUACUCUGCAGUCUAUAGAUGCACUUUUUAAUUUUUUUCUUUUUUUGCUACCCCUGUGGCAUAUGGAAGUUCCUGGCCCAGGGACUGAAUCUGAGCUGAAGGUGCCACCUACACCACAGCUGCAGUAACCCUGGAUCCUUAACCCACAGUGCUGGACCAGGAUCAAACCUGUGCCUCCACAGAGACAAGCCGGAUCAUUAACCCACCGUGCCACAAGGGGAACUCCUACAUGCACUUCUUUCCAGGUCACAUCCAUCUCUUAGCUGUCAUGGUUUCCAGGUUUAUCAUGGACUUGACCAAGGAGAGAGCAGGAAUGCACAGGCUUUUGGAAAAGAUGGAAGAUGAGGGGGUGGACAGGAAUUUCAAAGAUCAAAUGGAGAAGAGAUGGAAUUAGUCUUUUUAAAAACAUGCAACUGCAGAACUUUACACCCACUUUCUAUUUAUAUAUAUCCUUGUCUCUCAGCUUGGCUCCUCCUGCACAAGGCUCCAGUGGAAGAUAACAGACACAAAGAGCAGCUGCUAUUGAGGUACAAAUAUGAAGUGCAGAGGAGGCUGUAGGAGAAUUGGGACUGUGGGCUUAGGGUGUUAUGGAUUUAGGGAUGCUAGGGCAAGAAGUCUUAAGAAACGUAGGUCAGAAAGUAUUUUGUCCCUUGCCGGAAGCCUGUAUAGGCAGAGGAAAGUUGGAGCCAUCCUCCAUAUCCACGUCGUACCCUAGAGCUCCAGCUUUAUCUACUGCCUACCGUCCUGCACUGGUGGCAGGAAGAGGAGAUAGAAGGCUGCCGAAACAGCUGGGCAGAGAUGAUGUACAUGGCAGUGGGGAUGGAGGAAGGAUGACAAAUUCAAGAGGAAUUUCUGAGAAUCUAGCAGUGACUUCUUAGAAGAGGGAAGGGCAGAGAGGAAAGUCAUUUCCAGGGUUUUAGAUUGGGAAACAGGGUGAUCAGGAAGUGUUUAAUGAAGUUUGAGAAUCCAAGUACCACUGCAGGCUUGGCUCAGAGAAGGGCUGAGAUGUAACUAAUUGAAUUUGAGGUUCCUGAAGGACAUCCAUUCAUUCGACAAACAUUUGUUGAGUACUAGGUGUUAGGUACUUUUCUCGGUGCUCAUUAUAUGGCAGAAAUACAGCUCUGAAGAAAUGUUAGGACUGUCAUUUGAGAGGCAGUGCCACUUUCUCUCAAUUCUUGGCUUUUAUUAGCUCCAUGACUUUGCCUAUAUUAUCUAUACUUAUAAAGUAGCCCUUCUCUCUCUUUUUGUCUUUAUAGGGCCACACCCGUGGUAUACGGAGGUUCCCAGGCUAGAGGUCGAAUUGGCCGAUGCCAUAGCCACAGCAAUGCCAGAUCCUUAACCCACUGAGCGAGGCCAGGGAUCGAACCUGAGUCCUUAUGGAUGCUAGUCAGAUUCAUUUCUGCUGAGCCAUGAUGGGAACUCCUCUAAUUCUCAAAUAACCAUGACAGCUACCACAUACCAAAUAUUUACUGUGACACUGUACUCAGUUUAAUGCGCCAAUAAAAGAAUUAUCUUCCUGAGGCUUAAUAUGAUCAAAUAACUAGUCUGAGGUCACACGGCUAAGUGACAGAGCUGGAAGUUGCUCCCAUUCCACCAUCCUGCCUCCCAGUACCCUAGCCUUAAAAAAAAAAAAACUGCUCAAGGCCACUCCUUCAUGAAGUCUCCCCUGAGUUCCCCCAACCUGAUGUGAGCUUUUCCUCUUGUGGAUGCCAGGGAUGUGGUUUCAACCUCUCCUGGCACACCCUGCCUGUCCAAGAGCCAUCACAGCAAGUGUUCAGGAGACGCAGCGAGGAUGCUUUCAUGCACCAGGCUUUUUGCUGUUUUACAUGCUUCUCAAUUUACUCCUCUCCAAAUUCCUAGCUUUUACCUUCUCAUCAGACCGCAUCUCCUUCCCCAGAGCACAGGAAUGCCACAGGGGCCAGGGAGAGAGUUCUUGCACCCUCACCGCCUGGAGCACAGGGCUCUGCACACUUAGUAACUGAGGGCUGUACUUACAGACUCUAAAUGUGGGCCCCUCAGGGGAGGAAGGGCCUGAGAUGCUGAGUUCCAGGGUGAGGUGAGCAGUCCCAAGCAAGCUGCGGCUCUGUUCUGUUUUCACUCUCCUUUUCUGUUUCCAGCCAAAGGACAUUCUCAACAAUCUUGGUGAUGCCAGGAGGCCCAGACGGGAUGGAAAACCAGUAGGCACACUUCUGCUUCUUGUCCUUAUCUCCCCUCUGGCUCUUCAUGCGACUCCAUUUGGAAAUAAACUGCAAAACCUAAUAGAUUUUCCAUGGAAAUGUGGCACAUACCAGGGAACAGUCCAUUCUCCUGGCUGCCUUAGUGAGGCCAAAAUCGGUGCUAGAGAAGGUUCUCUCAGCCACGGUGUCAUCCUGGAGACUUUGAGGGGGUGGGGGUGGGCAGGGUUUCUUUCAUUAUCUGCUCUCCCUCUCAGCAAGUUGGUGUGUCUUGAAUAGCUCCUCCAGGUCACAGCUUUGUUCCCUCCCCGCUUUUCCUUGACACUCUCCAAAGCACUGUUCUCCAGCCAUAUUUUGGUGUUUGGAACUAAUAACUAUGUAUCUGAAAACACUCUUUUUCUGGGUGGCAGUAAGUUGAUUCCAGAACAAUUGUGGUGCUUUUCUGUUUUGGUUUGUUUGUGUUUGAGAGGGCCUAAAAAGCUCCUGGGCCUUGGAUUUUUUUCUUUCUUUUUCUUUUUAGGGCCACACCUGAGGCAUAUGGAGGUUCCCAGGCUAGGGGUCCAGUCGGAGCUACAGCUGCCGGCCUAUGCCACAGCCACAGCCACAUCAGAUCUGAGCCACAUCUAUGACCUAUGCCACACAGCUCACAGCAACACCAGAUCCUUAACCCACUAAGCAAGGCCAGGGAUUGAACCCGCAACCUCACGGUUCCUAAUCAGAUUCAUUUCCACUGUGCCACGAUGGGAACUCCUGAGGCCAGGGAUUGAACCUGCACCUCAGCAGCGACCUGAGCUGCAGCAGUGACAAUGGUGGAUCCUUAACCUAAUGCGCCACAAGGGAAUUUCAGAAUAACUGUGGUUUUAAUACAAAAUCUGCCCGAUUGGUCCCAGACAGGAGAUUUGGGGCCUGGACUGCAGAGGAACCCUUUUAGGAGAGCAUGACAAAUGGGUAUUUCAACAUUUUGUCUCAGGGCCAUGGAAUCAUGGCAGCGUUAGACCCGCCUCCCCACCAAAGCUUGGGGAAGCAGCACACAGACGAAGAGGCUGAGUCAUAUGGACAAAGCUGGCUGUAAGGGAAACACUUUCAGUUGCUUUAGAAAUCAAUUUGUUACCAUCUAAGAUGUUCUCCAGAAAAGUUGUUUUUUGAUUGAUGGCAAAAAACCCCCUUCCAUUUGCAACUUUUUCCUUCUAAGACAAAAACCAGAGGCCAAGAUCCUGACUCUCUCAAGUCUGAAGACUUAAGAUGAAGGAUUAAUAGAGGUGGAAAAAGUUAAAUGAGAGUUUACAUGUGACAUCCUUAAAGAAGCCUUAAAAAAAAAAAAAAAAAAAAAAAGUCUCUCCAGAGGAGAUAAAAUACACAUCUUUAUAUUUAAAAAAUAAACCAAAAGGACUUCCCUUGUGGCACAAGAGAUUAAGGAUCUGGCCUUGUAGCAGUGUGGGUUGCUGCUGUGGCACAGGUUCCAUCCCUGCCCCUGGGAACUUCCAUAUGCCACAGGUAGAGCCAAAACCAAAAAAACCCCUCCCAACCAAAAUCCCAAAGAUAGAGUAUUCUGGCACUUAGGGAGGCAGCCUGAAUGAACCUGUUCAACAUGCAAGGCUUUUCUAGAAGAAUCCACAGAGAAGCUGACA